UCCUACGGGGGGCAGCAGUGGGGGAUAUUGCACAAUGGGGGAAACCCUGAUGCAGCGACGCCGCGUGUGGGAAGACGGCCUUCUGGAUUGUAGACCACUGUCCCCAGGGACGAAAAUGACGGUACCUGGGGAGGAAGCUCCGGCUAACUACGUGCCAGCAGCCGCGGUAAUACGUAGGGAGCAAGCGUUGUCCGGAAUUACUGGGUGUAAAGGGAGCGUAGGCGGGGAUGCAAGUUGGGUGUCAAAACUACCGGCUCAACCGAUAGUCGCACUCAAAACUGCAGCUCUCGAGUGAAGUAGAGGCA
rnacentral:rRNA from 1 species